rnacentral:rRNA from 1 species
UACGUAGGGGGCUAGCGUUGUCCGGAAUCAUUGGGCGUAAAGCGCGUGUAGGCGGUCCGGUAAGUCCGCUGUGAAAGUCGAGGGCUCAACCCUCGAAUGCCGGUGGAUACUGUCGGGCUUGAGUACGGGAGAGGCGAGUGGAAUUCCUGGUGUAGCGGUGAAAUGCGCAGAUAUCGGGAGGAACACCAAUGGCGAAGGCAGCUCGCUGGGACGUUACUGACGCUGAGACGCGAAAGCGUGGGGAGCAAACAGG